rnacentral:lncRNA from 1 species
CAGCCACUGGAAUUUCUUUCUAGUGAAACUGUGGAAGUGACCUUUGCUUCUCCCCGUGCUGUGGGUCAGUCUCGAGCUUCCCUGGACAUCUACAAACGCUGCAGCUGCUAACGGAGACCACAGAGGUGAUGGAGAGGUGACUCACCCAGAGGCCUGAUGAACAGACGAAGGACUCAUCUCGUGAAUCAACAGCACAAGGAUCUGCAGAUCAAGUUAAUUCUGCUAACAUUGGAGCAGCCUGAGCCACACUGAAAGGGCUUGCAGAAACAUCACUCUGGUUCCUCUAGGAAGAGCUUUUGCUUGGCAAUGCACAAGCAAGAAGAUUCUAGCUUGUUUUGAUGCAUUGUUGAUACAGUACUAAAAAGUAGAAGCAAAAAGCAGUGUGAUGUUGUUUGGAAAAAGGCCUGCUCUGUUGGCGCUGGGGGAGGCAGGAGCUGGGCGAUGUGCUCUGAGUGGUGACAGAUUACUGGAGGUUAAGAAGGUGGAUUUUUACCCGAUGGACUUGGCAGCUCUCCUGCAGGUCUAUGCACUCAGUAUUGAUCUUGCUGCAAGAUGAAUAGUGAUAUGGAUUUUUCUUUUUUUUUUAAUUCUUUUUUGGGCACCUCUAAAUAUGGCUGGCAUUCAUGAGAGUCUUGCCUAAGGACUGGUAUUAAUCUAAACUAAUCAAG